UCUGGGACCCCCUUGCGGGCACUGCCAUGGUGGAGCAGGGCACUGGAUGUGCACAGAGUGUGUAUGGGGAUGUAGGGCUUCAGGGAUGGCAGGCCACCUCCCCAAAUUAUCCAUGAAAUGUGAAUGAAAAGUCACCAAAGAUGUACCUCCAAUCCAGAGAACUCUGACUUUCCUCUUACCAAGGGCACAGAGAAAGAGGGAAGCAUUGAGUCUCAACUACUUAACCUGCUGCCCAUUGUACCUACCCAUAAAUGGCAUCUUUAUCUCUCUUUAAAGCGUCAUUGACAGAGGAGCCCAUGCUGGGGGCCAUGGCGUUGGUAUGAGCUGUGUGCGGGUACUGAUGCGAGUGCAGAGGAGGCCCGUGGUUCAGGUGCGGGUCCCCAUACAUCGUGGAGGGGAUGCCUACUCCAUCCAUGCCCCCGUAAUGGGGUAGAUCGUCGUACUGCAUGACAAACAGGAGAGAAAGAAGGUUCAGGAGGCCAGGCGGGCAAAUGGGAGAACGGCAAGGCACCGAGCUUAUAUAAG
rnacentral:lncRNA from 1 species